UGGGGAAUCUUCCGCAAUGGACGAAAGUCUGACGGAGCAACGCCGCGUGAGUGAUGACGGCCUUCGGGUUGUAAAGCUCUGUGAUCGGGGACGAAUGGCUGGUAUGCUAAUACCAUAUCAGAGUGACGGUACCCGAAUAGCAAGCCACGGCUAACUACGUGCCAGCAGCCGCGGUAAUACGUAGGUGGCAAGCGUUGUCCGGAAUUAUUGGGCGUAAAGCGCGCGCAGGCGGCUUCUUAAGUCCAUCUUAAAAAGUGCGGGGCUUAACCCCGUGAUGGGAUGGAAACUGGGAGGCUGGAGUAUCGGAGAGGAAAGUGGAAUUCCUAGUGUAGCGGUGAAAUGCGUAGAGAUUAGGAAGAACACCGGUGGCGAAGGCGACUUUCUGGACGACAACUGACGCUGAGGCGCGAAAAGCGUGGUANCAAACAGGAUUAGA
rnacentral:rRNA from 1 species